GCCUAGCCGUAAACUUUGAUAGUAACUUACACCCGCUAUCCGCCUGGGAACUACAAGCGUCAGCUUCAAACCCAAAGGACUUGGCGGUGCCUCAGACCCACCUAGAGGAGCCUGUUCUAGAACCGAUAACCCCCGUUCAACCUCACCACCCCUGGCCAACCCCGCCUAUAUACCGCCGUCGUCAGCUUACCCUUUGAAGGUCUCAUAGUAAGCAAAACGGGCACAGCCCCAAACGUCAGGUCGAGGUGUAGCGUAUGAGGUGGAAAGAAAUGGGCUACAUUCUCUACUUUAGAGAACACGAAAGGUAUAAUGAAACAAGUACCUGAAGGCGGAUUUAGCAGUAAGAAGAAAAAAUGAGCGUUCUUCUGAAGCUGGCUCUGAAGCGCGC
rnacentral:rRNA from 1 species